rnacentral:rRNA from 1 species
GCCGUAAGCCAUACCGAUCUCGCCCGCCCAAUCUCGUCUGAUCUCGGAAGCUACGCAGGGUCGGGCCUGGUUAGUACUUGUAUGGGAGACCACCUGGGAAUACCAAGUGCUGUAAGCU